rnacentral:lncRNA from 1 species
UGAUAAUGCUUUGCAGUGUGCCACUGAAUGUACAAUGUGUACUUUGCAAAAAUAACAAAGCUUAGUAAUGUGGGACUUGAAUUUAAUUAUCUGCUCUUAAAUUUCUGAUAAGAAGUAGAAGCUGCCAAAAUUGUGAUGAAAAUGACUAGGAGAACAGCUUGGAGAGAGGCCUGUGGAGGGGAGAGUGGAUUUGGCAGAGGUCCCUGUUUUCUGGUUGCCUAGGUAGCACCUCUAAGCCUUGUCGGGUGGCUUCUUUACAAACACUUUUAUGGCUUGGUCAGGGUCUGGGUGCUGUUCAUACCCCAGUUUCAGUCCCUGGUGCAUUUUUUUUUAAUUAUUUAUUUAUUUAUUUUUGAGCUGGAGUCUUGCUCUGUCACCCAGGCUGGAGUACUGUGGCGUGAUCUCUGCUCACUGCAACCUCCACCUUCUGGAUUCAAGCGAUUCUCCUGUCUCAGCCUCCUGAGCAGCUGGGAUUACAGGUGCAUGCCACCAAGCCCGGCUAAUUUUUGUAUUUUAGUGAAGACAGGGUUUCGUCACGUUGGCCAGGCUGGUCUCAAACUCCUGACCUCAGGUGAUCCUCUGGUGCAUGUUUUAAUGGGGCCAAAAGGAGAUGACACAAGGGCAAGGGGAACCAUAGGCAUCUGUGCAACUCCUGAGUUGCAUGAAAAGGAAGACAAGUUGACGGAGUCCUGCUCUGUCGCCCAGGCUGGAGUGCAAUUGCACGAUCUCAGCUCACUGUGACCUCUGCCUCCUGUGUUCAAGUGAAUCUCCUGCCUCAGCCUCUCCAGCAGCUGGGAUUACAGGUGCCCCCCCACCACACCUGGCUAGUAUUUUUGUAUUUUUAGUAGAAGCAGGGUUUCACCAUGUUGGCCAGGCUGGUCUCGAACUCCUGACCUCAAGUGAUCCACCCGCCUCAGCCUCCCAAAGCGCUGGGAUUACAGGCAUGAGCCACCGCGCUCGGCAUUAUAUGUAUUUUCUAAUGCUUCUACAAAAGCCUGGUAUUGGUAUUGAGCAGGCAAAGAAGAACCAAGGCUCUCACACAUGCUGUCCCAUCCAGAUAGAACAGUCAUUCUCUGAGUCUUUGCUUGUCUGACUCCUACUCAUCCUUCAGACUCCAGCGUAAAUAUCCCAUCCUGAGGGCAGCUUUCCCUGACCGUCUGGCCUAGGGAAUGGAAGGAGAAAGCCAUGGCUACAGAGGCAGAACAGAGGCGCAGGAAGAAAGAAGCCAUUGGUUUCACUACGGAAGCACUGCAAGAAGCUUCAGCUGCAGGAAGACCCAUAUCUGGAGUUUUCAAUGAUGUGAGAACAAACUAUUUCCUUCAUUAUUCACAUCAAGUUCGGGCUGCCUGGAGUGAAACACAUUCUAAAGCCAGUAGGUAGCAUCACAAGUGCAAAAUGAAAAAGGCACCCACAGAACUGGGACAAAUUUUGUUUCAUUGCACUGAGACUAGAAGGGACGAGACAGCUCAUGUGGUCUGUGUUCCUGCCUUCAAGGAGGAGUAGAAUCAAGAAAUGGAAGAAGCCUUGGGGCUUUCAGGUCACCCACGCCUGUGUCUGACCCUUGGCUGUACACCAGAUCACCUGGGGAACUUUGUAAAAACAGCUUCCUCCACCCCAUUCCAUUGCGUUGAGCCAAAAUCUCUAGGGGUGAGGCUCAUUAUCUGUUUCACAAACUCCAAGUGAUUCUGAGGGACCAUCCCUUAACAACUGUGAACUUUCCUUUGGUAGAAGGAAGCAGCAUAGCAGAUCCUAAUGCUAAUGCCGACAUCAAAUUCAAAGCACUGAAUGUGUGUAUCAUGGUCUUAGAAGUAUGUAUAACUCAUUUCUGAAUCACUUUAUUGAAGACCCAAAUUAAUUAAAUACUUAGACUAUGCAUGAGAGUCUGAAGGCCUUUCUCCUGUGUGUAAAAGG